UGCUAUUAUUCACUGUAGAUCUAAAUCUUAACUUUUGAGUACCAAAGAAGUACACAAAGGAUGUUGAAUGGUACCCAAAGGGCUCUAAUUGCUACCAUUCAAUGUGUGGAUUCAAGUAUUUACCCAGAUACUGCCACAAUAUGUUCAUUGUUUUCAAAAGAGUUUGCACCCAGUGCCAGAAGCUGUAUAAAUACAUUUAACAAUGUAUAUUUCAAGAAGAAAUUAUUCUUUCUUAUCCCUAGGAGUUUAUCAAUAAGAUGGAUGCCACAAAACUGACUUGCUAUGUCAGAAACUCUUCCUAUGAAACUUCCAUCCUAGAAUUUGUCCAAUGCCUGUGAUCCUCUGAGUUGAAUGAGAAUGUGCUCCAUAAUAUCUACCAGUACCUUGCUGAUAGCUGGAAGUUCAUGAAUAUUAUGUUGUCCUUGAUUUGAUGAUUUUGAA
rnacentral:sRNA from 1 species